rnacentral:lncRNA from 1 species
AAACAAAAAAAAAAAAAAGGAAAAAAGAACAAAAAAAAGUUUCAAAAUUGAGAAGAUGAUGAGAGACAGGUUUUGAUGGUGGGCAUUUUGCCUCUCUGUAUUAACUACAUAAUAAUAAUAAAUUUUAAAGGACUCUUUUUUAUCAAUUUUUUUCUCGUGCAUUCUACUUUUCACUAAUCACUAUAAGCAUCCACUAGUUUCUCUCUCUACACUAUAUCCCUUUCUUUCUCUCUCUAGCUAUCCGGUGUUUCCUGUUUUUCGAAUGCCU